rfam:Gossypium arboreum cultivar AKA8401 contig_12848_1, whole genome shotgun sequence.
UGGUAAAAAUUUCAUCCAUUGGUGCUGUUAAAAACCGGUGUAGCUAACGGAAUAACCAAACAGUGACAGAUGGUGUGCGACGUGUACCUCAUGCUAAUAUACAAAAACUAGUUUUUAACCGUAGAAAUAGAUUAAAUUUUUAACA